rnacentral:rRNA from 1 species
AGAUUGAACGCUGGCGGCAGGCCUAACACAUGCAAGUCGAGCGGCAGCACGGGUACUUGUACCUGGUGGCGAGCGGCGGACGGGUGAGUAAUGCCUAGGAAUCUGCCUGGUAGUGGGGGAUAACGCUCGGAAACGGACGCUAAUACCGCAUACGUCCUACGGGAGAAAGCAGGGGACCUUCGGGCCUUGCGCUAUCAGAUGAGCCUAGGUCGGAUUAGCUAGUUGGUGAGGUAAUGGCUCACCAAGGCGACGAUCCGUAACUGGUCUGAGAGGAUGAUCAGUCACACUGGAACUGAGACACGGCCCAGACCUCCGUACGGGAGCAGCA